AGCAGCUACCUCAUUCCCAGUGCCCAUUCCCAGUAGCCCCUAGAAACGGUGGGCUGGUGUGUGUCACCACUGACAAUGCUCAGUACUGCAAACCCAUGUGCAACAAGGGUUAUGACUUUCCAUUCCUCAGAAGUAGACUGUAUGAAGUAUGUGGCACUGCCACUGGGUUUUCCUGGACAACACAGCUUGUUGGCAAAAAGGAACUGGCUGUUUGAAAUGCCUCCGAGAUGGCCAUCAGUGGAGUUAACUCUGCCUGUUUCCUGACCAACAGCACCUAUAUGCACACAUUAGCUGGCACUGAAACUCAGGCAGAGCAGCCAAACAUCUUCCUCAAAGAGCUUCAUGAGCAAGGCAUUGACAGCUCCAACCAUGACAAGGAGGCUGAUUGUAUCAUCUGUGGUUACUAGCAUGAAAAAACUUGUGCCACAGACCAGGAAGCCAUCUGGAAGUUGACAUGGGUAUUUUGACAAGAGAAAUAGAGCACUUAAAUCAUUGCUAAGACAUGUAAACAUGCAGCUUUUAUUUAGUUAAAGGACUAGUGAUCAUAGUAAUCAUUUGACCUCAGCUCUUGGGUAUAGAUAUAUAGGCUAAAUGUAAUCACAUAGCUCAUGUGGUGAAGGUGUAUUGAGGAAAGAUCACUUUUAUGGCUUAAAUUUGUCUAACUGGAAUUAAAUAAGAAUUAGAGUUGUUUAAGAGAUGCAGUCAUUAGUUAAACACAGUAAUUGUUAUCAAAAAUUAUCAUCUGUCAGGGGUCAUUUUUACUGAGAAAGGGUCAUGCUUUUAGUUGCUUUUACAAUUGCCAAUUAAUCACUAUUGUUUUUCUGAUGACCAUUAAAGCAAUGCAAGU